CUGCAUGGCUCGAUCUCCAUCGCAUCAUCUGCACUGUACCUGAAGAGGGAGGCCGCCCCUGGCCGGAAACUGGCCGGUGCAGGGAACCCAGCCCCGCCUAUUUAUACGCACGAACAGUAGUCAGUCACACGGAGCAGCAGCGGCAGCAGCUAGCAAUCUAAGCUAAGCUAAGCAAAGCCAAGCCAAGCAGGGACCAUGUCGGGAUCCGGCGCCGGGGUGUGGGUGUUCCGGAACGGGGUGAUGCAGCUGGAGCAGCCGGCGGCGGCGAGCCGGAAGGCGCUGGUGUACGUGCCGACGAACGAGGUGGUGCGGUCAGUGGAGGCGCUGGAGCGGCGGCUGGGGACGCUGGGCUGGGAGCGCUACUACGAGAACCGAAGCAUCGUGCAGCUCCACAAGCGCGACGGCGGCGCAGACCUCAUCACCAUCCCGCGCGACUUCGCCAGCCUCCGAUCCACCCACAUGUACGACGUCGUCGUCAAGAACCGCGACCACUUCAAGGUCGUCGACGCCUAGGGAACUGUCAUUCAUGCGUGUGCAGGUGCAGAUGCCGGCCGGGACAUACAUACAUACAUACAUACAUACAUGUAUAUUGUAUAGAAAAGAUGUGUGUGUGUGUGUGUAUGCAAGGAGUGUGAGAGCUACAUAUUGUACUGAACUGCUGAUGCUUGAUGUUUUUACUAGCUAUUGCCCUAGGGUUUGUUUAAACUUGGGUGUGAGAUUAACGAAGUGUCCUCUAAAGAUUGUAUGAUGCAUGCUA